AUCACAGCUAGAGUCCCUGAAAACAUGCUCUACCCUGGGUUUUCUACUUGGGGUAAUUUGAAUCGCUGGUCUAAAACACUGCAGGACAUCCUGUUCCAAGAGGGGCUGGGACAGGGCCCAGGGUGUUCCAGAUGGCUCUUCCUUGUUUCAGAAUGUUGCAUUCCCAGCAUAUUUUACAGCUGUUCUUGAGAACUGUAAGUGACGAAGGGACUAUGAGCUGGGUCGGCAAGGACAUCUGGAGACUUGCCUACAGGCUUCUAUUACCAUUUUAUUAAAGAUACACACAGAGGCACACUGGAAAUGCAAUAGAAAACGGCUGCCAAUUUAAAACCAGAAGUUAAGAACAAACCAGAAUGUACAGCAAGAGAGCUUCAGGCUGGACCGGCUCCAGCAGAAGAAGCCUCCAGAUUGGCUUAUAUUUUGAUUUUCAGAGCUGUUGGGUGGGGCUGGAUUCUCAAGAGACCAAUAUGCUCAUUAGUGGAGAAGCCAGAAGGGUCAGGCAAGCAGAUGCUCCUAACUGGCCACAGC